GUCACAUUUUAUUGAAGAAAACAAAAAUAAAUAAGAGCACAAGCAAUGGAAUGACAAUAAAUUCAAAAAGAAAAAUACUUAAAAUAAAUAGCUCGAAAGAUGGGCUUAAGUCCGAAACAAAAAAAAAUCAUAAAAAAUAAAAGGACCUUUCAGAAGCUCUGUUGGAAUUAGGAAGGUAAACAUCUCUUCACUUCUCAAUCUUCCAUAGAAGCACUGAUAAUUUUUCUUUAGAUUGUUUCAGCGCCCUUCAUUUUUUGCUUUCGUUUUACGUUUUCGUUCUUCUUUCAGAUACAUGUAUCCUUUACUUUGAUAUUUUUUUUCCUCUUUCUUGUAGCUUUAGCCUCAAAACACAGAUAGUGUGCUCUUUUUUUAAUUCCCCCCCCCCCCCCACCCCCUCCCUCCAUCAGAUCCAAGACAACCAGCUCGACAAUAGCUUUCAAUUUUCAAUUGCAGCUAGAUCUAUUCCAGAUCUGGUGAUCCUUGCCUCUGACACGAGCUGAGGGGGAGAUUUUAUGAAAAUUUUUAUUGAGGAAUGAGUUGCGUCGCUGCAUUUGAGUUUCAGAGGCAUAGGAUUCAAAGCUUCCUUAGCAGUUCAGUCCCAGUUAGCAGCAGUAGUAGUGAGUCCUAUUCCUUCGAGGACGAAUCUCAGUUUACUAUUAAUGCAUCAGAUUUGGUUUAUAUUCUCAGUGGACAGAGUUAGUUGGGGACAUGUCCCAUCAACUCCAUAGUUCAGAUAGUUUAGAGGCUUUUUAGACAGAUGUUGAUGUAAUAGUAUUCAGUUUUCAGUUUGAGUAUGUAUAGAUCUGUUGAACCCUAUGGCUAGUUUCCACAUUUAUUUCAGAUAUUAUGCAGUGUACAGGUACAGAUAUCAGUAAAGGAUUAGCUUGUGGUCCUUCGGGUCCAUAAGCACCAUGUGAUGUCACGAGAUGGGAUCUCGGGGCAUUACAUCAUUAUAGUAUGAAUAUAAUAUUAUUAGUUUA